GCCGUCCACUGAACAUUGUCGACGACCGCGCAAUCCUAACCAUGCAAAGGUAGCAUAAUCACUUGCCCAUUAAUUGUGGGCUAGAAUGAAAGGACCAACGAAAUAAAAGCUGUCUCUAUAAGCUAUAUAAAAAUUAAUCUCUAACUGAAGAGUGUUAGAUAAAAUCGAAGGACAAGAAGACCCUAUAGAGCUUUAUUUUAACAAAAACAAAUAUUUUGAUAAGAUUCGGUUGGGGCGACCAGGGAUAUUUUAAUCAUCCCUAAACAUAAGAUUAAUAAAUCACAAUAAUGACCCUUUACAAAGAUCAAUAAAACAAGCUACCUUAGGGAUAACAGGCUAAUCCUGCUAGAGAGUCCUUAUUUAUAGCAGGGGUUGGCACCUCGAUGUUGGCUUAUGGAAUCUAUAAGGCGCGAGAAGCCUCAUAAAGAUGGUUUGAUCAACCCAUAAUACCCUACAUGAACUGAGGUCAGACCGGCGUAAUCCAGGUCAGUUUCUGUCCUCGAUGAAAACACCUAUCCAUAGUACGAAAGGACCUGGAUAAUAAUAAUACAUUAUAUAACAACCGAAUAAAGUAUAAAGUCACUUAAAUAAUAAAUCCUCAUACGCUA
rnacentral:rRNA from 1 species